GGCGGCACGCCUAACACAUGCAAGUCGAACGAAGUAGCAAUAUUUAGUGGCAGACGGGUGAGUAACAUGUAGGUAUCUGCCCUUUGGCCUGGAAUAACACGAGGAAACUUGUGCUAAUACCGGAUAAGUCUUUACGGAGAAAGCUUUAUGCACCAUUGGAUGAGCCUGCACUUGAUUAGUUUGUUGGUGGGGUAAUGGCCUACCAAGACUGUGAUCAAUAGCUGAUUUGAGAGGAUGAUCAGCCACAUUGGGAGUGAGACACGGCCCAAACUCUUACGGGAGGCAGCAGUGGGGAAUCUUGCACAAUGGAGGAAACUCUGAUGCAGCGAUGCCGCGUGAGUGAAGAAGGCCCUUGGGUUGUAAAGCUCUUUCGUCGGGGAAGAAAAUGACUGUACCCGAAUAAGAAGGUCCGGCUAACUUCGUGCCAGCAGCCGCGGUAAUACGAAGGGACCUAGCGUAGUUCGGAAUUACUGGGCUUAAAGAGUUCGUAGGUGGUUGAAAAAGUUAGUGGUGAAAUCCCAGAGCUUAACUCUGGAAUUGCCAUUAAAACUUUUCAGCUAGAGUAUGAUAGAGGAAAGCAGAAUUUCUAGUGUAGAGGUGAAAUUCGUAGAUAUUAGAAAGAACACCAAUGGCGAAGGCAGCUUUCUGGAUCUAUUACUGACACUGA
rnacentral:rRNA from 1 species